UGCAUCGGACGCUGAAUCUGGGCCGUUGGAUGUCAUAUUCCGUUCUAUUCCAUUUGUGACCACAAAGACAGAGACGGAGACGAAGACAAAGACGAAGGUGAAGAGUCGAGACAAAGACGGAGACGAAGACGAAGACUUGAGGAUCGCACCUGAGUGCCUUGAUGGCUUGGUAUGAGUUGAUAUGGAUCAGUGCCUUAUCUAUUGGCACCAUGACCGAAGCGCCACGUGGCGCUAAUCUUAUCUGCUGUGGUUGGGCACGCGCCGUCGUCUUCAACCUUUCCCAUAGAACAUCAGUCAUUGAUUGAGAGAGAAAAACGACCUUGGACGCUCCGCCAUUCCCCUUGAACACCAGUCGUCAUCUUCGAUCUUCCCAGACAACACCAGAUUCCGCCACUCCCGUGUGUAUUAAUUCCUCUGUUAUUGUUGUUCUGGAAUUCUAUGUAAAAUCCAUCUAUUUCUUCAAUUUCGCAAGUGUUUCCUUUGAAAUUCUCCAAUCCCUGCUCUGGAAUUUGUCAAUUUCGCAAAAGUAUUUCUUUAAUUCCUGUUCUGGAAUUCUUCAAUUUCGCAAGUGUUUCCUGUGUUUUUGUGCAUCCAUCUAUAUAUAUUUAAAAUCCAUGUAAUUUUUUAUUUUUGAAUGCAUAACUAAUGAAGCGCGACCUUCACCUUCUCCUUUUGAAUGCCAUACUAUGAAUAAUAGAUAAAGUUUCACCAAAACUCAGUCAUAAAAAUUUCCACGUGUUUUAUUAAUUCCUUACUUGUGAUCACUAUUUUAUAUAUAUACAUAUUUUAUCUGAGCGCGAGUUUGAGCUCAUCCGAUCUCUUGUAUUCUUCUUGAUUGCACAGUUUCCGGCUUGUUGCCGGACGAAGAUAUCCUUCCUCCUCUUCGAGAAGCACUUAAUUGAGCUCUUCAAGAAAGUUUGAUAAGACUCAUUUUUUGAGCUUUAUUAUUCAUGAAUUGAUCCUUGAGCUUUACGUGAUCUCGAUUAAUUUUCUCUAUCAAUUGAUUUGUUGAUGAAUUAACCUCUUUUCUUGCACUAUGAUCAGUAAACUUCCUGUUGUAAGUUUAAAUUGUAGUGCUUAAAAACUUUGGACAGCUCGCAAGAUAGAGAAAUGGUUAGCAGGCCAAGACAUAUUUGAACUUCCCUUCCCCAUUUUCUAGUUUUAUGUUUUGAACUUCUAUAUUUAAUUUAACAAUCUUAAUAAGAGAGAACUUGGCUACUAUUGAUAGGAAUAGUACUGUAGAAAAAAUAGUGCCCAUGGUAUUUUCGUAAUUGUUGUUUCAUUUGUGGGUUUUUGCAAAAAAAAAAAAAUAUCUGUUUUAUCUUCAAUACCUCUGCAGAUUUUUCUUCUUCUACUUUCACUUUUUACUUUCUAUGUUUUCAGUUUUGCAACAAAAAAAACGAGAUUUCCUGUCAAUCUUUGUCCGGUGAAAGUGGAUAAUCUGAUCAUAAUCCAACAAAAAAUCACACUAGACAAAUCCACUACAUCAACAACACAAGUAGGUGAGUUUGAUUUCUGCACCCCGCUUUUUAUCAUUAAUUUUUUAAAUAACCCUAGAAUUUUUACAAAAAACAGAGCUCCGCAUAACACAAUCGAAUUAGAGUCUUGUGGUUGGGUUUCUUGCUUUGUUGUUUGCUUUGAGGGCGCCGAUCGGGAACAGAGAGUCUUGGCUGAGUUUUUUGUGUCGUUGGUCCAUCGCCAGAAGCACAGGUAUGUUAUCUUAAUUCUGGUUUACAGAAUCCAAUACGUCUAUUCUCUUUCUUGUGGAAUACAGAUUUACAAUGCUUGCUUAUUUGCUAUUGUCAAAAUAAAAUCAGAAUUAGUUGUAUCAAUUGAAAAUAUCACAAGAUAAAUACAAAACUUGCUAUUAGGGCAGUUUGGUCGAAGCAGAAACAUGUCGGAGGCCCUCCUCUAUCACUGAUACAGAAGCUCGACACUAAUUAUCGAAGGCAUGAACCAAAUGACGAAAAGGUAAUUAAAGAGAUGCGAGAGAUUGUGGAUAUUGUGAGGGAUAAGAAAUUGGUAGAGGGGAGAAUCCUAAAUUUUUUGGUAUGUGACCUUGUCGACGUAGCUGAUGAUGCUCUCUACCUUUUCAAACAAGACGUAACCUAUCCUUGGAACUUUGACUCCGUGCAUAGUUGGAUGGGAGAGAUAAAAAAACGCAUGCUUAAACUGGGAGAUGAUGGGGCAAAGACAGAGUCCAACAUGAGAUCAUCACACGACACGUCCCGACUUAGGUGUACGCGAUGAAGAUGUUCAAAAGAUGAAACCUUUGGAUUCUAAGCAGAGUUGGCAAUUGUUUCUGAAAACAAUAAAUCAUGGCAAUAAAUUGACGGGUGAGCACAAAUUCCCUAUGUCCUUGAAGCAUAUGGCAGAACAAAUGUUGAGAAAAUGUGGCGGUCUGCCAUUAGGUAUAAAAGAGGUAGGAAAGCAGUUAGCGGAAAAGAAAGUCUCGGGAGGGAGUGAAUGGGAACAACUUCUUGAAUCAGUUGAUUUUGGUUCAACAUUGAAGUUUUUAGAACCAUUUUAUCAUAAGUUGGAUCCCAAACUGGACUCAUGUUUCUUGUCUAUGGCCUUCUUUAAGGAAAAUAUAACUUUGAGGAAAGAAAAGUUGAUACAGAUUUGGGUUGCUGGAGGAGUAGUAGUACAGGCUUCAGAGAAUAUGACUGUGGACUAUAUUUAGAUGGUUUAGUCAAUGAAUCCUUUAUUGAAGUCGGGGACAAGAGCACGGAGUAUGACUUGAAUGCUCUACUACACAUGCUAUCCAUUCAAAAAGCAGAGCAGAAACUAUGUUUUGAGAUCCUAAGGAACAACGGAAAUAAUCGACCCUCUGAGAGUCCUCGUCAUCACCGUGUUAUCAUUUGUAGCAGAGAUAAGUUCAACUACUCCACGGAUCAAGAUAAACAUCUUGUGUCUCUCUUCUUCCAUGGAGCACGGUUUCUUGUGUCGUUGUCUGCAUUGAGAGUACUGGCCGCUGUCGGCGUCGGCUUUAGCUGAGUUGUGGCUCAGUUUUUUGUGUCGUUGUCUGCGUUGAGAGUACUGCNGUCGAAGCAGAAACAUGUCGGAGGCCCUCCUCUAUCACUGAUACAGAAGCUCGACACUAAUUAUCGAAGGCAUGAACCAAAUGACGAAAAGGUAAUUAAAGAGAUGCGAGAGAUUGUGGAUAUUGUGAGGGAUAAGAAAUUGGUAGAGGGGAGAAUCCUAAAUUUUUUGGUAUGUGACCUUGUCGACGUGGCUGAUGAUGCUCUCUACCUUUUCAAACAAGACGUAACAUAUCCUUGGAAAUAUAACUCAAUCAAUAAUCGAAUCACAAAGAUAAAAACGACAACCUUAAACUGGGAGAUGAUGGGGCAGAGACAGAGUCCAACAUGAGAUCAUCACACGACACGUCCCGACUUAGGUGUACGCGAUGAAGAUGUUCAUAAGAUGAAACCUUUGGAUUCUAAGCAGAGUUGGCAAUUGUUUCUCAAAAACAUAAAUCAUGGCAAUAAAUUGACGGGUGAGCACAAAUUCCCUAUGUCCUUGAAGCAUAUGGCAGAACAAAUGUUGAGAAAAUGUGGCGGUCUGCCAUUAGGUAUAAAAGAGGUAGGAAAGCAGUUAGCGGAAAAGAAAGUCUCGGGAGGGAGUGAAUGGGAACAACUUCUUGAAUCAGUUGAUUUUGGUUCAACAUUGAAGUUAUUAGAACCAUUUUAUCAUAAGUUGGAUCCCAAACUAGACUCAUGUUUCUUGUCUAUGGCCUUCUUUAAGGAAAAUAUAACUUUGAGGAAAGAAAAGUUGAUACAGAUUUGGGUUGCUGGAGGAGUAGUAGUACAGGCUUCAGAGAAUAUGACUGUGGACUAUAUUUAGAUGGUUUAGUCAAUGAAUCCUUUAUUGAAGUUGGGGACAAGAGCACGGAGUAUCACUUGAAUGCUCUACUACACAUGCUAUCCAUUCAAAAAGCAGAGCAGAAACUAUGUUUUGAGAUCCUAAGGAACAACGGAAAUAAUCGACCCUCUGAGAGUCCUCGUCAUCACCGUGUUAUCAUUUGUAGCAGAGAUAAGUUCAACUACUCCACGGAUCAAGAUAAACAUCUUGUGUCUCUCUUCUUCCAUGGAGCACGGUUUCUUGUGUCGUUGUCUGCAUUGAGAGUACUGGCCGCUGUCGGCGUCGGCAUCGGCUUUAGCUGAGUUGUGGCUCAGUUUCUUGUGUCGUUGUCUGCGUUGAGAGUACUGCCCAGUGUCGGCAUCGGCAUCAGCAGCAGCUUUCUUAGCUGCUCAUCAGCAUCAACCAUUUAAUUUUUAAUCACAGCCGUUUAAAUACUAGUGAUCUAUGGUUAAUAGUUGGUCUUAUUUUAUAGACUUAGAGUGGUUCAUUGAAUAGCGGCACCCUAUAUAUUUGAAUCUAUUUAUUUGAUCUAACUGUUAUUCUUUGUUUUGUAAUUAAAAUGUUUUUGUUACUUACUGCCAUGAUCUAAUUAGGUUGUCAAAAGAAAUGGAAGAGCGUAUGAUUCCAAUGAAUAAGAUUCUAACAGGAUUGAAGGAAUGGAAAUGCAAGGUGAGAGUGAUCAAGAAGCUAGGAGCUAAGCAAGCUAACAAUAAUCUUAAUAAAUUUCAGAAACUAAUCUUGGGUGAUGGCUUGGUAAAUUAAUGAGUAUCCCUUACAUUUAAGCUGUUGUUGUGAGUUUUUCUUACCUUUAAAAGGUGACAUAUAUUAAUUUUUUUGUUCUUUUUAGGGCCACACUCUUGAUGCUGUGAUAUUCCAUGAUAAUAUAGAUAGGUUCAAACAUGUGCUUCAAGAGGGUAAUGCUACAUGGUGAAAGGAGCCUAUGUUUCUGAUCCAAAGCAAUAAAGGAAUCCAAUUGUGACAUGUAAUUCCCAAUGGACGUUCAGAAAAGAUACUUCGGUGAAUGAAGAACCAAAUGAUUCGAUACCGAUUGGUGGACUAUGUUAUAGAACAACUCCAAGUUGCGAGUUCCACAAAUUCCUCUCAACAAAGACAUAUUGAUCAGUUAAGCUAAGCAACUCAAUUAUUGAAGAAUUGCGAAUGAUAUUUCUAUAUUUAUUUUAUCAAUAUCUUGUGUAAGUUUAGGAAAAGAAUUAUUGUACUUAUUAUAUUUUAGAACGAGAUUAUUUUAGUGUGACUUAAAUGUUAAUUAAUCAUUUUCUUCUCUUACUUAGAUACUGCUCGUGUCAUUAUUGGUACCCAUGAACCUCGGGUAGUCACAAUCAAUGGACAGGGUAAAGUCAUUCGUGAGUAUGCUGCUAUUGAUACAGAGUAUGUUAGAUACACGAUGAGUUAUUGUUUUCCUAUUUCUUUACAUAUGUUUAGUUUAGUUUAUAAUAACAUAAUUCAUGGAAAUGUAGGCUGGAAACGUUCGUGGUGACAUUCUGGGAAGAUUCUGUAUCCGAUGAGAUCUAUGCUAAAUUGGAACCUAUUUCGAAUAGGACACCGUUGUUGUUGUUGUUGAAUUUUUUAGUCGUGUCAUAUUACGGUAUGCAUGAUUUUACGUGGUCAGAUAAAUUAUACAUACAUAAAUUGUUAGGCACAAUCGAUGAUAGUUAGUCUUUAAUGUUCAGGAUUGAGUCUGACCACCAAUGCUCAGUCAAUUGUCUUGGAUGGCUCUGAGAGUGAAAUGCUAAUUGAACUAGAGUGAUGGUAUUGUAUAAUCUGUAUAACAAUUAAGAACCUUAUCAUGUGAAUAUUUUUGUUCCUAAGUUGCUUAUAAUUAUCAUAAACAGGAAGCAAGAGAAUGAAGAGGCCAUUAACAUGUUAGUACAAACUGGUGGUUUUUUUGAAAAGAAAGUGUUGCGCUCACCCAAGCAACCUCUGCAGAUUACUAAAGUGGAUCAAAUAUUGCAGAAUAAAGAGGUGACUUACUUUAUAUUGUACUUGCACAAGUAACAUGAAUUUAACAUUUUUUUAAUUUCUUUUUCAGAAUACAUACUUUAAUGUAAAAGUUAAAGCAAGGUUGGAAAAUGAAUACCAAGACUACUUUUACAUUGGUUGUCCAAUAUGUUCCACAAAGACAGCUGCCUCAUAUGGUAUAGAGUUCAUGUGUUACUCAACACCAUGCAAGAAUAUGAGAAUAGAAAAUCGGAGGUGUUAAUAUAUCUAUUAAUACAUCUUUUCUUAAUUAGCUCAUAUAGAUUUGUACAAGUGUGUAUAUUAGAACACUUGAUUUUACUACAACUUCAGAUUUAGUCUCAUGGUCUUUGAUGCGUCUGGACAAGUGGAAGUCACUUUUCUGGGGAAAGAAGCUCAAAAACUUCUUGGCCUAGAUCCUUCUGAGUUUUAUAAAUAACAAAAUCUGGUGAGUAUUCUACUAUACAAUGGUCGAGUAUUAUCACAUUUACAAAAUUUGGAUUUUCUUAGGCAACGCCUAUGCAAUAUUGUCUUACUCUUAAAGAUAAAAAGUCGAAUAUUUAAAGAUGUUUGUUCUUUCACUGCAGAUGCUAUUGAGAUUUUACAAGAUGAUGCUGCAAUACCAUCUGAGAAAAUUAGCUUUGAACCUGACGAAGUUCAUCUAGAGCAAGGUUUGUAUAAUUUUUUCUUCUAUUCUAUGUAUUAUUCAAUUAAGAUGAUAAUAAUUUAAGUAUUUUAAUUCUUCAGGGGUGCUAAAAAGUGCGACGAGGCAAUUGGUUUUCAUGAUUCAUUAGGUGAAAUAUUUCCAACUAAUUUUGUGAUGGAAACCAAUUAAUAUUUAUUGUAAUUAAAUUUGAACAUUUUAGUUAAAUUAAGUUAAAAUUUAUUUUGAUUUUUUGUAAUGAUGAUUGCUGUAAUUAAUAUAGAUAAUGAUGAAGACAUUCGAGCAAAGGAUGCUACCAAAGCUAAAGGCAAGGGGAAAAUGUCUCAAGAAACCCAUGUUGAAUAUGCUAUUCUUGCUUGAAAAGAUAAUAAUUACUCCCUCCGUCCCAGCUUUUUGUAUCCACUUUUAGUAGUGGAUACUGGUGAAGUAUAAUUGAACGGGUAUAGAUUUAAUCGGCAUAUUAUUAUUGGAUUUCGAAUUAUACCUAGUGUUGCUUGGGAAACGAGAGAGAAAAGUAAGGUUGAAAGCACAAAAAUCCGAUUGUUAUUAUAUUGCAAGUGAAGAUAGCGUAAGUUUAAAAAGCUGGGACGGAGGAAGUAUAAUUUUGCAACAACAGAUACAAUUGGAAGCUCAUUUGAAGAUAGUCUUUCUUCUGAUGAUGAUAAACCAAUAUCAGGUAUCACAUCCACUGUUAUAAAUAGAUACUUAAUAUUAAUUGCAAAUUCAUUUAAUAUAACUAUAUUGCUUCUCCAUCACAAAAAUCUUCAGGGGUAAAAAAAAUUUGCUCUAUUGUUCUAUCCGAUGAUUCAAGAAAUGAUAGUCUGAAUUGUGUAGUGGAAUCGGCUAGAAAGAGGUGUNAUAAACCAAUAUCAGGUAUCACAUCCACGGUUAUAAAUAGAUACUUGAUAUUGCAAAUUCAUUUAAUAUAAUCAUAUUGCUUCUCCAUCACAGAAAUCUUCAGGGGUAAAAAGAAAAUUUGCUCUAUUGUUCUAUCCGAAGAGUCAAGAAAUGACAGUAUGAAUUGUGUAGUGGAAUCGGCUAAAAGAGGUGUGUCACCAAAAUUUAGAAAUUAUUUUUAAAAGAAUCUAGGUUUGACAUUGUGAUUUUUUUUUUUUUACAUAUAUAAUAACAAAAUUUUAUGUGAUGAAAAAAUGCACGCACACCCAAUAAGAAAUUUUCUAGGUUUAAUUUUCAUAUUUUAUUCAUCUAAGAAAUCGAGUUCAAUACAUAUUCUAUAUCAGGUAACAUUGGAAAAAUCAAAAGAAGAUUUGUUAGCAAAAGAAAAAAAGUUGUACACUUUGAUCUUUCUGAAGAUUCAGGUAUUCAAUUAUUAUUACAAGAUUUAGUAGAUUUUGCUAAAGAUUUUCAUGAUAUGUUUUCCACCAGAAAAUGAUAAUCAUGGCUUAGUGAAAAUGAGGAUUAUUCUUAUCACUUUGGAUAGAUCGAUGUUGGUGAAACUUUCAAUAUUCUUUUCCAUGAGUAGUGAAUUUUUGACUUUUUUAUUGCAAUGGAGAAAUUGUAUAACUAAUAUAAGAAUAAUGAUUGAUCUAACAAUAUUUAUGUUGGUUUUGUAAUGUUAGAUAAUGAUGAUACGAUUGAGAAUUUUGAUGAUGCACAUUUGGAUAAGCCUCUAUCAGGUAAUAGUUAGACAUGAUAGAUAGUAUUUUAAAUCUUCUAGAAUUUAUUAAUCGAGCAAAUGAUGAAAUAUUAUUGUGUCAUUGUUAGAAAUUUUAAAAAUACAAAAGAAAGCUAAAAACAUUAGCAUGACGUCAUAAGGUCAGGUAAACAUGAAGAUCAAAGAUCCUCAAGCAUGCACAUCUAAACAUUCUAAUUUUAAAUUGAUAUCGCUUAUGCUAAUCUAUUCAUGUUUUGAACUACCAUUAAUUUGUUACUAUUGUGUAAUUACCAUGAAAUCUAAACCAAUAGACAUAUGUACCGGUUACUUGCUUAGCUCCAACUACUUAUAAAACGUAUACAAAUAUAAUUUAUAAGCAACUUUAUUUUUAGAUGAAUUUGUGGAGAGAGUAACUGAUAGCAAACUUGUUGAAGAUUCUCAUAUGGAGUCAUGUCUACCUUUGGCAGGUAAAUUAUUCAACCAAUUAGAUAAAUUUUCGUUUCUAAUAUUCUUCGUUGUUAACAAUAUUAACUCAAUCAUUUAGGCACACUAUACCGGGAGAAACAGGACCUUGUGGCAUAAACAUCAAAGAAGACUAAAAUAACUCAAGCUAAGGACAAACAUGUAGCUAAGGGUACAAAACUGAAAAACUAGAGAAAAACUAUUGUCAUUAUAUAGACACUUAAUCUUUGAAGUGUGUUCUUGUAUGAUUGAUGGGAGUUUCUGUGCAACAUUAUCAGCAAAGAAGGCGAAGAAAAUGAAGUCUAAUAUCUUAAAAGACAAGAUACAAAGCUAGCAUAUCUGAUUCAUCCCACCAACUUACUGAAGUGGUUGUCGAGCAUAAUAAAGGUUAGUAUUCUACAUGAGGCAACGGUGUUAAUAGUUCUAAAUCAAAUCAUCAAUGAUAUAGGAUAUUAUGCAAAUACAUUAUGUUUGUCAUUAACUAAUUUUAUUAAUAUUAUCAUCAACUUUUAGGCAAAGGAGUCCCACAAACACCAACACUCAAGUCAAGGAGUGGCAGAACAAUCAAGCGAAGAAUAUUGGACUAAUGAAGUGAAAGAUUUUAUGAGACUUUGAAGCAACUUCUGUAUGUACUUUGACUUUUGCCUCUAUUACACCGCGUCGGUCACAUUCUACUAUAUUUUGAGGUUACCUUUUGCAUGUACAUUGUAUAUGCCUCGAUGUAGUUUUUAGCUUAAUGCGAUAUGUAUAUAUAACGCGUAAUGUCUAAAAGGAUAGUUAAAUAGGUUAUAUAUAAAUUGUAUUGUGUAGAUUGUUGCUCCUAGCUGUACAAAUUAAAUACUCUUUGCUGUAUUACAACUGUGACCUACAAGUCAUAGUAUAAUAUGUCUACACUUAAAAAUGAUUCGACUAGCGCCGUUAUUGGUCACAUAAUUCACGGAGCAAUUAUGGAAACACCGCGUCCUACGCGGUGCAGAAUUUCUAGUAUAUACAUGUUUGACAUUAAUAACUAUAUUCAGCUUAACUCAGACACAACAGUUGGAGACUUCUAGCAGCCAUGCUUCAUUGCAGGUAGUGUGGAGGUUUCCAAAUUCUUGUUCAUGAAGAUGCAUGAGUAUAUAUACAGUAAAAUGAGUAAAACCAACCUCAUGUUCAGUGUGACAAAGUGAGCAUAUGUCCACAUAUAGCAUCUCUGGAAUAACUAGAAAGUAAAACACAAGAAAAAAGCUCUUGAAAAGAUAGAAUACUACUUGAUAUAAGCAUAUAAGAAACAGAGACACAAUUAUUCCAGAUAUAGCAUACCUUCUCAAUU
rnacentral:lncRNA from 1 species